UCAAGGCCUCUAUCACAUCACAAUAUGGUAGGAUCUUAAAAAUGGAUUCUACUAAAAAAGUGGCCAGAAAACUAGCAGGACGCAGCUAUGGCACAGCUACCUGGGCAACCAAUGUUGGAAAUGAGUAUGGACAGGUGAUCAUGUCCGUACUCACAGCCAGUGAAGGUUUUGGUCUCGGACCAAUGAUUGAAGGCCUCAUCAAGCGAUACAGAGUGGCUGGGGUGGCUCCUCCCGAGGUACUAUAUGUCGACCGAGACUGCUGUGGCAACACUCUUCUGAGGAGGAUGUUUGAAGAGUGGGAGCAAAUGACCAUCCGGUUAGAUGUAUGGCACUUUAUGCGGAGGUUUUCUGUGGGUUGCACCACCGACUCUCAUCAGUUGUAUGCCACAUUUAUGAGUCGCCUCAGCCACUGUAUUUUCAUGUGGGACCAGGGGGACUUGACGGCCCUGAAGAAGGCGAAGCAUGCAGAGCUAGAAGCUGACCGGAAACCAUCAUCCGAGGCUGAUGUGCUGCGCUGUAUCAGCCGUAGCGAGCUAGCCCUACAUUGCAGGAGGACCACCCGCGGUACCAAGGAGACCUUGGCGAUGAUUGAGAGCCAUAUUCAGGCCUUUGAUGGAGAUGCUGGUCGUGACACUCUUGGAGUCCCACUAAUAAACUCAGCCCGGAUGAGGGAGAUCUUAAAGUCCCAGCGGAAGCAUGUGGCCUGCAUCCAGGAUCCUCUAGGUUUGCAGCUCUACAUGCAGACAGGCACUGUAGUGAAGGGAGGGCACCGGCUGCCAACCUACCGCUGUGCCAGAGGUUCCACUUCGCUUGAGUCUUUUCACCUGCACCUUAACAGAUUCAUCCCAGGUACGCUGGCUAGUGAGACCUUCUUCCAGGCGUAUCUUUUGGAUGGACUUGCAAGGUGGAAUGAGGACCGGGCUGUGGCAGCAACAACUGAUGAGCAGCAGCCACAUUCCUACAAUCAUCUUCUGCGUCAUGCUGUCAAUACUCUUGCAGAGAAGGUUAUGGGCAUGAAAAUCACCCCUUAUGUUGGGCCAAGAAAGUACACUGGUGAGCUUAUUGAAGUGGAAUACUUUUACCAGCAAACUGGUAAUGUUCUGCAGGACUACAAGUUGGCCAUUGAAGAGUUAGAGACCACUGAGGUUGUUAUAGAGGAGGAUGAAGAUUAUGCUGAACUUGAGGAGUUUCAGGACAUCACUGUCCCCACCGUUGACACAGAACGGACACCUGCUGCCUCUUCACAAGCAUUAGUGUCUGCAGCAUCAUCUCCAACCCCUCCAGCAACCAGCCCCAUGUCAUCACUGUCUGUGGUCCCUCCAUCACCAGUGACACCUCCUGUUUCCAGCUCCACGUCAUCACAGUUUGUAGUCCCUCCAUCACCAGUGACAUCUCCUGUUUCCAGCUCCACAUCAUCACUGUCUGUGGUCCCUCCAUCACCAGUGAAAUCUCCUGUCAAUCUCCAAUCAAAACCAUCUCUCUCUCCUGUGGCACAUAGCUUCCCAGUGGAUCAGUUAUCUGCAGAAACUGAUCUUCCAACAUCUGAAGAGAAUAUUUCACAUGAUCGGCUUCUCGGGUUCCAGCGUGCAAAGCCAGUCGCGUUGCGGGAUGAGAAUGGACACAGCCACUCACCGCUCUUACAUCCAUUGUAGGGAUGACGACACUGCGCUCUUCAGAAAACUAAUAACUUCGUUAUAACUGAGCAAAAUGAGCACAAAGCCAAAGAGCCACAAGGCCAUGGGAGAUGGUGAGUGGAUGGCGAGGUUGAGGGCUUUUGCCAGCUCUGGAGUUUGGCCAUCUGGAGGAGGAAAUAGACCAUCCCCAAAGCAGAGGAAGUGGUACGACCUCUAUCAGAAGAUUGAGAAAUGCCCCAUGCAGGCCCAUGGACAGACAACACUCUUUGGAGGAUCCAUGGCCUGCAACUGUGGAUUCCAUACCACUAAGCAGCCUGCCACUGCCGCUUCAACUUCUGCCGCACCUCCGCAGCCUGAAGCUUCAGACACGGCCCCUGCCCCACGGACAUUCCUGAGGCCACCUCCAAGUUUGUCAAUGUUCACUAAGUCACGGUUUGGUGGGUCCCAGUUGGCUUCAAUAAAGCCAAAUUUAGUGGAACAAAGGAGCCCCAGCCCCUCUCCUCCGCCCUCUUCAAGAACCCCCAGCCCUUCUCCUCCCAGCCCCUCUCCUCCAUCCACUAUGAGGACCCCCAGCACAUCUCCAUUCUCUGUGAGGGCCCCCAGUUCUGCUUCAUCCUCUGUGAGGGCCCCCAGUCCUGUUAAUCAAAAGACCAAUUUGACCUAAGUAGCUAGCAGUCUCUGCUCUCAUCCUUUUCUGCUGAAAUUCAUGCUGCUAAAUCCUCCUAUUUCCACAACAAAAUCAACAGCGCUUCAAACACACGCACACUUUUCAAAACAUUCAACUCUCUCCUCUGCCCCCCUCCACCACCACCCACCUCAUCCGUUACUGCUGAUAAUU